rnacentral:rRNA from 1 species
GAAGAACCUUACCUGGUCUUGACAUCCACGGAAGUUUUCAGAGAUGAGAAUGUGCCUUCGGGAACCGUGAGACAGGUGCUGCAUGGCUGUCGUCAGCUCGUGUUGUGAAAUGUUGGGUUAAGUCCCGCAACGAGCGCAACCCUUAUCCUUUGUUGCCAGCGGUCCGGCCGGGAACUCAAAGGAGACUGCCAGUGAUAAACUGGAGGAAGGUGGGGAUGACGUCAAGUCAUCAUGGCCCUUACGACCAGGGCUACACACGUGC